AGAAUCUAAAUGCCCUAGUGCAGGGGUGCUCAGACUUCAUUGCAUCAUGACCCUCUUCCGACAACAAAAAUUACUUCACGACCCCAGGAUGGGGAACAGAAGCCUGAGCCCACCGAGCCCCACUG